GUCUACGGCCAUACCACCCUGAACGUGCCUGAUCUCGUCUGAUCUCGGAAGCUAAGCAGGGUCGGGCCUGGUUAGUACUUGGAUGGGAGAAAAUAUAUUCCCAAUAAAUGGUGCUUUGGUAU
rnacentral:rRNA from 1 species